rnacentral:rRNA from 1 species
UACGGAGGGAGCUAGCGUUGUUUCGGAAUUACUGGGCGUAAAGCGCACGUAGGCGGCUUUUUUAAGUCAGGGGUGAAAAUCCCGGGGCUCAACCCCCGGAACUGCCCUUGAAACUGGAGAGCUAGAAUCUUGGAGAGGCGAGUGGAAUUCCGAGUGUAGAGGUGAAAUUCGUAGAUAUUCGGAAGAACACCAGUGGCGAAAGGCGGCUCACUGGCUCGUAUCUGACGUCAGGCGCGC